CCCAGACUCCUACGGGAGGCAGCAGUGAGGAAUAUUGGUCAAUGGGCGCGAGCCUGAACCAGCCAAGUAGCGUGAAGGAUGACUGCCCUACGGGUUGUAAACUUCUUUUAUAAAGGAAUAAAGUGAGGCACGUGUGCCUUUUUGUAUGUAUUUUAUGAAUAAGGAUCGGCUAACUCCGUGCCAGCAGCCGCGGUAAUACGGAGGAUCCGAGCGUUAUCCGGAUUUAUUGGGUUUAAAGGGUGCGCAGGCGGACGCUUAAGUCAGCGGUAAAAUUGCGGGGCUCAACCUCGUCGAGCCGUUGAAACUGGGUGCCUUGAGUGGGCGAGAAGUACGCGGAAUGCGUGGUGUAGCGGUGAAAUGCAUAGAUAUCGCGCAGAACUCCGAUUGCGAAGGCAGCAUGCCGGCUCCACACUGACGCUGAGGCACGAAAGCGUGGGUAUCGAACAGGAUUAGAUACCCCAGUAAG
rnacentral:rRNA from 1 species